CAAUAGCGUAUAUUUAAGUUGCUGCAGUUAAAAAGCUCGUAGUUGGAUUUCGGGUGGGAAUGGCCGGUCCGCCGUUUCGGUGUGCACUUGCUACGCCCACCUUGCUGCCGGGGACGUGCUCUUGAGUUCACGCUCGGGACACGGAGUCGGCGAGGUUACUUUGAGUAAAUUAGAGUGUUCAAAGCAGGCCUACGCUCUGAAUACAUUAGCAUGGAAUAACACGAUAGGACUCUGGCCUAUCUUGUUGGUCUGUAGGACCGAAGUAAUGAUUAAGAGGGACAGUCGGGGGCAUUCGUAUUUCAUUGUCAGAGGUGAAAUUCUUGGAUUUAUGAAAGACGAACUACUGCGAAAGCAUUUGCCAAGGAUGUUUUCAUUAA
rnacentral:rRNA from 1 species